AUUGAACGCUGGCGGCAUGCUUUACACAUGCAAGUCGAACGGGGUGAGGGGGCAACCUCUCAUCUAGUGGCGAACGGGUGAGUAAUGCAUCGGAACGUGUCCCGUAGUGGGGGAUAACCCGGCGAAAGCCGGACUAAUACCGCAUAUGCUCUACGGAGGAAAGUGGGGGACCUGUAAGGGCCUCACGCUAUGGGAGCGGCCGAUGUCCGAUUAGCUUGUUGGUGAGGUAAUGGCUCACCAAGGCGACGAUCGGUAGCUGGUCUGAGAGGAUGAUCAGCCACACUGGGACUGAGACACGGCCAGACUCCUACGGGAGGCAGCAGUGGGGAAUUUGGACAAUGGGGGCAACCCUGAUCCAGCCAUGCCGCGUGCGGGAAGAAGGCCUGG
rnacentral:rRNA from 1 species